rnacentral:rRNA from 1 species
CAGUCGCCGCGGUAAUACGAAGGAUGCAAGCGUUAAUCGGAAUUACUGGGCGUAAAGCGUGCGUAGGCGGUUUGUUAAGUCUGCUGUGAAAUCCCCGGGCUCAACCUGGGAAUGGCAGUGGAUACUGGCAAGCUAGAGUGUGUCAGAGGAUGGUGGAAUUCCCGGUGUAGCGGUGAAAUGCGUAGAGAUCGGGAGGAACAUCAGUGGCGAAGGCGGCCAUCUGGGACGACACUGACGCUGAGAGACGAAAGCUAGGGGAGCAAACAGGAUUAGAUACCCCCGUAGUCCCUGUCUCUUAUAC